ensembl:lincRNA
GACUUUCUCAUGCUCUCCUCCCACAAGCCAACAGUUCCAAAGCCGUGCGAUUUCUGCUUCUGCCAACCUAGAGCUGAAAGGUGCACCAUCUCAAUGACAGCUUCCUUCCAGGCCAACUUACUUUGACUAAUGACUUUCAGGAUUGUCUUCCUCCAAGCCAACUGCCACACGUGGAUGCUAGACUGCUGGAGAGGGGGCAUGGAGAAUAGAGAGGUCCUGAGUGAUAGCCCCAACCAGUGACCAGUUGAGUGAUGGAGGCCACAGUCCACGGGCAAGCCAAUGAACCAAAAAUUUGAUUCUGCUCCUAGAAUUGCCAGGAACACGUCACCUCCUUAGCAGGUGCUCGGAACAUAUUUGGAGGAUGAAUGAGUCCCCUCGUAUCAGUGCAAAUUCCUCAGCAAAAAGUCACAGGCUGCAAAACUUUAAAAAAAAAAAAAAAAAAGAAAGAAAGAAAGAAAAAAAGCAGGAAAACGGUGUAUGUGCUUGAGAGAGCCAUCCACCAUGCCAAGCAUGGCAAUGUAAGCCGUCUCAUUUGACCCUCCUCACAACAGGAUGGGAACUGCAUAAUCUGGGCACAGUGCCCCAUGCCUGUGUCCUAGCACUCAGCGAGUUGAGGAAGGAAGACCAGAAGGCUCAGGGUCAUUCUCAGCCAUAUUUGCAGUUUGCAGCCAGCCUGGGAGACCCAGACUUGGGCUAGUGAAGAGCUGUGGAUGUGAACUGCAGGAUUGCCGUAAGGAACAGCGGACACCCUGAACUCCCGCAUGGAGAGCACUGUAGUGAGUGAACUGUAGUGAGAGCUCUGUAGUGAGAGAGGAGCAUGGUACCAAAGUAGGAAUGGGUGAGGCUCCGUGUGCCCACAGGACAUGUCCUUUCAUGGGUCGUGGGUCAGGCUCAGCCACAGUGUGACUGCUCAGCUGAUGUGUGUAUGCGAAAGGGCAGGGUCCAUGCCUUAGGAGUGGCUGGGCUGGGCUGGUGUGGUGUGCUGUGUUUCCCAUGGAGAUGGCGGUGAUUCAUUACCCUUCCCAGCCCGCCCAGCUUCUAUCAGGGUUCAACUUGUAGUAAACAGGUCAUAAAAUGCCAUCUGGGUGAGGGGGACCUUCUGAGGUAACCCUCAAUGUCCUGUCAGCCCCAAAUCUUCCUGGAAACUACACACUGGAUCCACAGAGCUCAGAAUCUCUCUCCAAUGGCAGAAAACCCUUCUUCACCUAAUUUCUGAUUUUUUUUUCUGGAAAGUUCUAGAAACUCUACUCUCCUGGGAUGAUUCUGAGAUAUAACCACUCCAGCUUGCACUGGGGGGGUGGGGGGGGGAAGGCUGCUGCCCAGAGGAUAUCUGUUGGGGUGCUUCUGGGAGGUGUGUGUCAAUAAAUCAACCUGUGCAUGCUAUUAAUCAACAGUUUCCUAAAGUCUGGCCAGCGAAAUUCAGGUUUGUUGUCUACGUGAGUAGGUCUGAGGUUCUCAGACCAGAGAAAACAGGAGACAUAGUUCAGCCCAAAAGACAUAUAAAACCACAAUCACAAUAACAACACAACUAGAGGAGCUUGUAAGAGUCAAAGAGUCUCCUUUGGUUCACCAGGACUUUCAAAAGGACAGGUAAGACUAGCCAAUUUGCCCCAAAAUAAGCCAAACGAGACUGGAAGGGCUUUAACACUGGCAGUAAGUUGUCUCAGGCUCAGCCCCUGGGAAGCUGAGGUUAAGAUGGUUCCAGGACUGGUUCCUUCUAAGGCUGUGAGGGAGACUAACUCCUGCCUGGCUUCUGCUGGCGACUAGCAUUUGUUUGUGUCUGCUAGUCUCUACCAUUGAAGCUACCACAUCUGCAAAGGCCCCGUUCCAAGCAAGGUUGCAUUCUGAGGUACGGAGGCCUAGGAGUUCAAUCCAUCAAUUAUGGCGGUGACACAUAAUUUAACCCAUAGCAUAACCAGAAGUGGGUUCUACAUUUGGAUCGUGCUCAGGAUCCUCUCUUGCCAGUCCACAGAUCGCCAAAGAGUCUUCUCGAAAAUGACUUGCACUUGCCUGGCCCGCCCUUCGAGGUGGUAGCAGGCCUCACCUUAUCUUACUUGCAACUCAGGUGUGACUGGCCCCACCCUGGGUGAGAGGUAACAGUGAGCAGCCAAGCACUGGGAGAUCAAGGAGGAAUGGGCCAAGAAGGGACCUCAGGUUAAAAAUAGCUCCAGCAGUAGUGGUAGGUGGAGUGUGCCCAGAUGACCUUUGUCCUUUGAGACUUUGAAAGUCACUAGGUCGGGAUGACUCGGCUCUCGGCUCAUCACCCUGGGGAAGUGUGACCAUACAUGGGGGGGGGGGGGUCACUUCUCUUUUCCUUCCUUCCCUGACAGCUCUUUGGGAGCUUCCAGAAGCCUGAAGAGGGUCCCAUGAGGAUGCUGAUGUAAUCCUGUGUGCCCCUGUAAAAGCGGGGUCGUGAGAUCAGAACUGAACUGUCUUUCAAAGCAGGCUUUGGGCUGAGAGCUCUGGACCCAUUAAUGCAGGGCCUGACUCUUCCAGGCUGAGAGACGGCUGAAGGAAGAAGCGGUGACCUGAGGCUGGGCACAGUGGCCAGGGCUCCAGGGUACACAUCUGUCAGCUCAGCUCCCUGGAGGCACGAGCUGCUGGAUAAUCCGUGAAUGCUGAGAGAACUGUAAGCUGUCUGUGGGGAAGAGAGAGCAAGUGUUGCCCUUGAGUCUGUGAAUCGCUAGUGCCUGCUGCAGAGAAGCCUGGGCCCAUAGGGCAUCAGGCAUGCAGGAAAGCAAGCGGUUCUCUGUCGAAGGCAGGGUCUCUGUCCUGCAGCAGUGAACUUCCUGCCUUUGAACCCCCUCACCACACUCCCUUUAAGGAUCUCAGGGAAACCCCAGAGCCACAGUGCAACCCCUCCCCACCCACACAGGCCGCUCCCUGGCCCAGGUAUGCGUAGGCUUACUUACUGGGACUUGAAGCAGUACACGUGGGCUCUAGUUCUCGCCCACUGCUCUCAUCAGCAGGGGCUUCCCCAGAACAAAGAAUGUUAUCAACUCAAGGACAAACCCAGACUUCAUUUCUGUUGGUAUUUCCUUUCACCAUCUUUCCUUCCUUACUCUGUACUUUAAAUAUUCUAAGUCAUCCCAUCAGACAAGCUGUGUUUCACUAAAAUGUCAACUUCGUACAGUGAAAGGGUGAUCCGUAGAGGAAAAAGGCCACUUACAGGAUGCAAGAACAUGUUUGCAAAUUGUGUACCUGAUAAAGGACCAAUAUCCAGGAUAAACAAUGAACUCCUACAAGGGGCCGCAGCCACCAACAGUGUCAGAAACCAGGGGGUGAUUCAGCCAAGGAAACAUUUGUUUUUCCUCUACCAGUCGUAAAAUGGAAAUCGAACCCACAGUUAGAAACUACUUCCCUCCUAUCAGGGCUGCUACCAUGUAAACACCAUUACUAGUGAUGGUAGGAUGCCCUGGACACUGUUGGUGAAAAACGAACAUGACUAACUCCAUAGAAUAUGCUCUUUAAAGAAAUGAAGGAAGGGGAGGGGAAGGGGGAAAGGGAAAGGAAGAAAUAGAAUCACUGUAUGGUCCAGUAAUUCUGCUUCCAGGUAUGAACGCAAAAGGGUUUUUUAAAGGUCAUGGAGGCUGACAAGAUGGAGGAAGGGCAGGUUUAGCUGUGUCUUCUGGGCCACCUGGCAGCCACUGGUAGCUGUGUGGAAGGUGGUGGUCAUGUAGUGAGAAGCAGCCAUUCCUACUUCCCACAGCACCACCAAAGAAGGGAGAGGAAGCCUGAGACCUGGAGGGAGGGCAAAGGCAGGGUCUCCUUAGGUAACAUGCCAGAAUGUUCCAGAAUACAGACUUUUGAGCUCAGACUCCUCUUCAUAGCAAAGUCCCCUUAAACCUACCACAGGCCUCCACACAGAGGUAAGUUGGAAACAUGGGUGCUUAGAAAGGCCUCAGAGGAAAACACAAAGACACUGUCAAAAGCUGGGUGUCCAAGGCCGGGCGUGUAUCCAAGGCCGGGUGUCCAAGGCUGGGUACCCAAGGCUGUGUGUCCAAGUCUAUGUGUCCAAGGCUGUGUGUCCAAGGCUGGGUGUCCAAGGCUGGGUGCCCAAGCCUGGGUGUCCAAGGCUGUGUGUCCAAGGCUGGGUGUCCAAGCCUGUGUGUCCAAGCCUGGGUGUCCAAGCCUGUGUGUCCAAGGCCGGGUGUCCAAGGCUGUGUGUCCAAGGCUGUGUGCCCAAUCAUGAAUUUGCCAGGCACCAUUGUAGGCACACCGGGCCCAGGAGGAGAGGAUGUGGGUUUGAAUAAGACCCAGGCUCGGCCCACGUUUGUCGAAAGUGUAACAGUGAACUCAGACAUCUAAAGAUGGAUCACAGAACAGUGACGUAGUGUAUGUGUGCAGAAAACUGAACAGAAGCAAAACCAAAAAGAACAAAACAAGAAACCCCUGAACUUAGAAGUGGCUGGAAUUCAAAUAUGCAUUUCCCUCAAAGAUGUAAGUGUGUAUGUGAAGUCUGUAUGCAAAAAGAGGCAGACACUGUCACUCUGCAGGGAGGUACAAAGCCAAACCACAAUGAGAUGCCACCUCACACCCAGCCUACUGCUAAGGGAAAGGACAGAUCCUGACAAAGUGUUGAAAAAGGUGGGACAUUGGCAUUCUCACAGCUGGCAGACAUAACAAAGCAGCUAUGUUAAACAGUUACUUUUCUCAAGGAAAGUUUAAAAAAUAGGAAAAGUUACAUAUGAGCCAGGGUUCUGAAAAGAAACAAUGUCUAAGAGUUUACAUUCAGAAUUCUUUGUUCUUUCUGACAAAGAAAAAAAAAAGAGGUACAAUCCUUUAAAAUCCGCUCAUCAAUUU